UCUAAGUAUAAGCACUUUGUACUGUGAAACUGCGAAUGGCUCAUUAAAUCAGUUAUAGUUUAUUUGAUCAUACCUUACUACUUGGAUAACCGUGGUAAUUCUAGUGCUAAUACAUGCUUUCAGCCCCGACUUCAGGAAGGGGAGUAUUUAUUAGAUAAAAGCCAGUCGUAGCAAUACGUUUUCAGGUGAAUCAUGAUAACUAUUAGAAUCGCAUGGCUUUGCCGGCGAUGGUUCAUUCAAAUUUCUGCCCUAUCAACUUUCGAUGGUAGUAUAGAGGACUACCAUGGUUAUAACGGGUAACGGAGAAUUAGGGUUCGAUUCCGGAGAGGGAGCCUGAGAAACGGCUACCACAUCCAAGGAAGGCAGCAGGCGCGCAAAUUACCCAAUCCCGAUUCGGGGAGGUAGUGACAAUAAAUAACAAUACAGAGCUUUAGAGUUUUGUAAUUGUAAUGAGAACAAUUUAAACCUCUUAUCGAGAACCAAUUGGAGGGCAAGUCUGGUGCCAG
rnacentral:rRNA from 1 species